rnacentral:rRNA from 1 species
CCUACGGGAGGCAGCAGUGAGGAAUAUUGGUCAAUGGGCGAGAGCCUGAACCAGCCAAGCCGCGUGAAGGAUGAAGGAACUAUGGAUUGUAAACCUCUUUUGUAUGGGAAUAAAGUGAGGAACGCGUUCCCGGUUGUGUGUACCAUAAGAAUAAGCAUCGGCUAACUCCGUGCCAGCAGCCGCGGUAAUACGGAGGAUGCGAGCGUUAUCCGGAUUUAUUGGGUUUAAAGGGUGCGCAGGUGGUUAAUUAAGUCAGCGGUGAAAGUUUGUGGCUCAACCAUAAAAUUGCCGUUGAAACUGGUUGCCUUGAGUUGAUGAGAGGUAUGCGGAAUGCGUGGUGUAGCGGUGAAAUGCAUAGAUAUCACGCAGAACUCCGAUUGCGAAGGCAGCUUACUAGAUUCUAACUGACGCUGAGGCACGAAAGCGUGGGUAUCAAACAGGAUUAGAUACCCGGGUAGUC